rnacentral:lncRNA from 1 species
GAGUUUGGAGGGUGCCGGUCAACGAAGCCACGCGAGGUAUUUGAAAGGCAAUCAGCCCGACCGUCCCCCUAGAUUCAUCGGAGAAGGAACUAGGUGAAUAUUGCCCUGGGUCCUGGUAAUUCUACCUACUGAAGACAAAAGCCCCUUCUGCUCAUAUUUCCUGAGUCAACAUGGCCGUUCCUAACUUUGAAGAGACUUUAGACAUUCUUUGUUACAAUGAGCCCAGAAGAAAGAAGAGAAAUAUUACAGCGACUGUGCCCGGGACUGUAAGACGGAUAAGACCCAGCAGAAUAACUGCCAUGGAAGGAUGCUCCUCCUGCCAAUUGGCACUUAUCAAUGACAUCGAGGGAGAGGGACAGAGUGCCUAGGUAUGAGCCUUCAUCAAGUAGUAUGAAGGCCCUACCCCAACAGAAAGUGCUGAUGUGAAGAAGUGAUGCUUUGGACAAGACUUUUCCUCCAAGUUGGUCCUAUCCAGAGGUUGGCAAACAGGGUCCCUGGACAUCAUCCCUGUUGUGUACUAUUAUGAAUAAAGUUCUAUAGGACACA